AGACGAAGGUGGCAACCGUUGUUCGGAAUCACUGGGCAUAAAGCGCACGUAGGCGGGAGUGCAAGUCGGGUGUGAAAUCCCUCGGCCUAACCGAGGAACUGCGCCCGAAACUGCAUUUCUUGAGGACAGAAGGGGAGCGCGGAAUUCCUGGUGGAGCGGUGAAAUGCGUUGAUAUCAGGAGGAACACCGGCGGCGAAGGCGACGCUCUGGUCUGUUUCUGACGCUAAGGUGCGAAAGCCAGGGGAGCAAACGGGAUUAGAAACCCCAGUAGUCC
rnacentral:rRNA from 1 species